UGGGGAAUUCCUCUGCUUCAUGGCUGGCUACUUGGGUUGUAAUUUAAAUUGUUUUACUGAUUUCAUUUCUAACACUAUCCCCAAUUAUCUUAAAGGUUUACUUUACCUUGACAAGUGUGGUACUCCUUACAACAUCUAAUUUUGCUGUUGCUGUGGUGGUUUUCUGCCAUUUUUUGGCUAAGCAUUGGUUUUCUUGUCUGUGUUCUUGCUUAAUUUUUCUCUGGGUUCCUCUCAGGCUUUUGUUUUUUAUUAUCCCGAUUGUGUUUGGCUGCUCUUUCUGUCUGUCUUACUCUGUUAUUUCAAGUGCUUUGAUUUGUUCCGCUAAUAUUUUGUGGGCUUUUCAUUGUUUGCCUGGAGUUCUGGGUUUUUGGACUGGAGCUGUGAUGCUGCUGCCGUGUACGCUGAACCAGUCCUCUAGUUGCUCUCCUAACUGGGAUUAGCUAUGGGGCUGGGGGUCUGUCGGAUGCCUAUCUGGUUGGCUGCUGGGUGAGUUGUUUAGUUUUUAGUUGGUGUUAUGUUGGAUGCUGGAGGUGUAUUAUUAUAAGUAUUGGCUGGGUGAUUGGAUUUGUUAUGGUAAUUUUGUUUAUCUUCUGGAUUGAUGUUUGGGUUGGGGGAAUAAUUGUGUUUGGUUGGGCUUUUGUUAUUAUGUGACCAUGACUAUUUCCUUUUAUGAUUAUUCCUGGUUAUUCUGGAGGCGUGUACAUCGUAUUUCUGGGCGGAAUCCCUUGUGUAGGAUUGAGCGGCUUUUGGAUUGGGAUGAUGAAGCUGUUUUUUCAGAGAAUGUCCUGAGCUCUAAUAAUCUGAUCAUUAGGACUUGCAGUAUUAGGUCAGCUCGAUUCGGAUGAUUACCCAAGGUGUUGUUUACUCGCUAAAGAUUUUCACUGACUGUUGGGACUGCUAUUAUCUCAUUUAUUUUUCUCUAGAGUAUAAUCUAGUGUAUGUAAGCUUAUGUGUUAAGAAGACUGGUCUGAAAGUGUUAUCAUUCUCUUCCUCCUUUUUGGAUACUGUCACCUUGUAGCCCUUCUUUUUUACUUUAUUUUUCCUGUUGUUUUAGAUUUUGGGAACUCUGGUUCUUAGGUUCUUUUUUGGCUUUUUUGGGUGCUCAUUAAGGAUUUUUGUAAUCUUCUUUUUUGGAUUAACUCGUAGCCCCUUUGGGGUUUUUUUUUUU